CCGCAACCUCUCUCCCCUAAAACCCUAAACCCUUGGGGCCUAAUCCAUGGCAGAUUUCGACGACGAUUUUGGAGACAUCUACACUGAUGUCCAAGCCCGGUCCUCGUCAGCCGUCAAUGGCCUCUCGGACUUCACUCAGUUCUAUACAGAACCCAAAGAAGAAGAAGAAGAAGAAGAUGGUAAGAGCAGUGAAAACAACGGCGGCAAGGGUUUUGCCUCCGAUUCUAGGAAACCCAGUUCUGUGUUAGAGGAUUUGGGUGGUGAAGUUGAGGUUGAGGAGUGCAGUGAUAGUGACAGUGACGAUGAUCUUCAUAUAGUGUUGAACGAUGGGGGCUGUCAAGGUGUGCCCUUUCCGAUUUCGGGUGGUGGGAGCUUGAGGCUUGAUGAUUGUGAUGAUGAGGACGAUGAUGCUCUUGUGCCCAUCAAAGAUUCCAAGUAUGUGUGGACUCAAGGAUCAGCUCGUUCAAGCAAUGGGAAAUCCAAUGAGUGUGUGGAUUUGGGGCCGUUUGGAGGAGACCACUUGCAGAUAAGUCGCGCUCGUGAUGCACCUAAUCUGGUGGUGACUCGGAAUAGAUAUGGUUUUCGAAUUCCUUGGUAUAGGACCAUACUGGAAAUGGAUAUUGAACCAUUUGAGGAUAAGUCAUGGAGGUACCCUGGAAUUGAUAUAACAGAUUACUUCAAUUUUGAUUUGAAUGAGGACAGCUGGAAAGAGUACUGUAACUCCCUGGAGCAACUUCGGCAGUUCACAUCCACGCAGUAUGGCAUGCCUGGCUCUUCAAAAUUUUGUCAGGCUAAAGAAGCUGGAUCUGAGUAUGGGGUAUUCACCCCGGAAACUAUGUCUGAAGAAAUGGAUUAUGCUGGAUCAAGGACAUAUGCUCCAUCGUCAUCAACAGUUUCUGAACUGCCCAAAGGGAAAGCAAUUCAGAUAGAAGAUAGUUUUGUUGAACGCCAACCAUCUUUUGAUAGCAGGCAUCCACGUAGUUGGAAUUCUGAUGUUGUGAUACAGAUUGCUGUGCAGGAUCCCACCCAGGAAACCUACAAUUCUAGCGCAGAACAUGGGCAAAAAAAUGGCAGGACCCAUGAUACAUCUGAAACUGGGGAGUUUAAUGCAAAUGGAAACCAAAAUAAUAUCUCAUAUGGUACUACAAAUGGUGAUGAUAUAUCAUCAGGAAGUGCAGAAGCAGACGUGAAAAAAGUAGUCAGGUGUUCCCAGAAGAUCAGUGCAUCACAUCGAAAUAAAGUGACGGAAAGUCUCGACAAGCAUAACCAGGUCAUUGAUGUGGAUGGGAAUAAGCAUAAGGAGGUGAAUGGUAUCUCAUUGGAGGCCAUCGAAAUUGCAAAUAAAGUGACAGAAAAUCUCGACAGGAAUACUUCCUCUGAUGAUCAAUGCAUGAUGGACACGCAAUUAUCGCUGAGUGAUGAUGAGGAUCAGCUUAGUCUCAUUUCAUCAUGUUAUGAAUCUGAUUCUGGAACUUCCAGGAACAGUGCCCAUUUUGAUCCAGAAGAUAUUCAUACUCCUGUAAGGCCUGUGGAGAAUCCAGAAAGUGAACCACACAAGUCUAUCACAUCAUCUUCUAAGAACUCAAAAGGCAAUUGCAUCAAAAGAAAAAGAGAUAUCCAAGAUUAUUCCAUCUGUAGAAGAUAUUCGCAGAAGAAGCAUAGUUAUCAAGGAAGGAGGCUUAACGAUCUUGAAGAACCGACUAAUCACAGAAACAGUGAUGUGUCUCCCACCUCAGAUACCGAGGACCCAAAUGACAGGAAUUAUUCAGAGAAUUUUCGCAGACAGGAGAGGCUGCGAGAUUCUGGUGGUAUUAAUAGAGAAGAUACUUUAGAUUAUAAAGGACGGAAGUUUUCCUACCAUUGUGGUAUUAGAAAUGCUGAUAACCAUUAUCAUAAGAGAAAGUGUUUCAGUAGAAAUGAUAGUCACCAGCUCCAACAGAAACUAGAUCCGUAUGUGAAUAGAACUUCUAAUGAGAGGCAGACUCUUUGUGAAGAUUGGAACCACUCUGGAAGAACGCAGUUCACUGAUGAGAGGAGUCCUCUCACCAAGGGGGAGUCCAGGGGGUUGCACUCUAGGUAUUCCUCCACUGUUGAAUCAAGACAUGCUCAAUGGAGAAGGACCCGCAACAAACUGCUGUUUAAGAAAAUACCCAAUAAGUGGCAUGAAGACGAUUUUCCUGGAGAAAAAGCCGGGAGAUGUGCGUCAUUCAUUAGUCGAAAAAGAAAUAAUUUUGAUGAAUUUCAUGGAAGGAAGUUCCCACUUCUGGGGAGAGAACUGAAUAACCGGGGGCAAAGGGGUGGAUAUGAGGGCAGUCCCAUGUAUUUGGACGAUUCACAAUCUGAAAAUUUUAAAGAUGUAUAUUGCGAACACCAAGAAAAUCAGUACUUGUCCCAUCAGUCUUACAGAGACUUAUAUACAGCUGAGGAUGGAAGCUGGAAUCGCUCCGUAUCACCAAGAAAUUAUGUUUCUUAUCCAAGAACAGCUAAUGAAAGAUUUUGGAGACAAUUGAGAAAAAUAGAUGUGGAAGAAGCCAAUGAAGUUAAUUGGUAUGAUGAUCACUAUGAUAGCUAUGAAAUCGAAGGUAACAUGCAUCCUAAUGAUCAUUUAAGGUGGAGAAGGUCUAACUGGCAAUCUGAAGUGAUGCACUGGACUGAAGAUCAGUUUACUUUCAGACAUCAUGGUGAUAAAUUGUAUUCUGAGAAGGCAUCCUGUUCUUAUCAAAAAUAUGUACGGCAUGAAAAUUUUCGUGCUAAAAAUGGUUUUAGUGAUGGAAUGCCUAUUAAUAAUAUGCAGCCAGAGCAUAUUAAUAAUAUGCCUAUUAAUAAUAUGCAGCCAGAGCAGCAUAGAUCGAAAAUUCCUAGAAAAGGAACUGGUGCUAACUUUGUUCAUAGUGCUAAGAUAUAUAGAGGUAGGCAUGAGCAGUUGGUGAGGUGCAGGGAUUCAAUGGACUUGGCUGUUAGGGAACGAAAGAUCCUUGCCAGAUGCUCCAAAGCCAGAACUUCGAUGUGCAAUGGUAGGCCAGAAAGCAUGGGUGCCGUAAUUGGUGGAGAGUCAACAACUUCAAGGAAUUUGCAGGUUUGUGAAACUGAGAAGGCAAGGGCGGUCAAAAUCACCCAAAGAAUUGGAUGGGACCAAAACAGCAGGAUAGGGCCUGAUAAGUUUCCAGUUACAGCUCAGAAUGCUGAUUUGGAUAUAGAGGAGGGUCAGAUUGUGACACAACAGAAUGCAGUUAAUACACCACACCCUUUGCAGAGAAAACAUUAUUCUGAUUUUAAUGAACCAGCCCACAGCUUGAAAAAGAGAGUGCUUGAUGGUCAUAAUGCCAAUACUGGGAAUAAGGUCGUUGCAGAAGGAUGUGACAAGCAAAGGAUUCUACAGACAAUGGAAAAAAUGGAACAACGCGGGGAGCGCUUUAAGGAGUCAAUCACCUUGAGAAAAGAGCCAGACAAGUCAUUCACGCCUGAGGUUGAUCCCGCAGUUGAAACAGCUGAUGAAAAGCAACACAGGCCAGCCAGAAAGAGGCAGUGGGGUGGUAGGUUCUCGAAGAAUGACGCUCUAAUGUUGGGGAUUCCACUGAAAGCAACAUUCUGAAAGAAUCAUCUUUUGACAUGUUCAUUGCCAACUAUCAGCUGAGUGAGCUGACAUUACUUACCUCCGUUCAAGUGACUCCAACAUAUGCUGAGAUCGAUAAAGUUGAUUCCAACCACUGCCGGUUGCGGCAGGCUGCUAUUCAUAAAGUGCCAUGUCUUAUUUUCUAUUGUGGUGCCAGGGCUGAAAGUUCCCUUAGAUUUAUUUUCCUAUUUGAAGCAGAGAAAUCAGAGACAUUUGUUAUUAUUACUUGGUCUACUGUAUAAAAUAUUGGAGGUAGAUUUCUCCAAUCCAAAUUCAGUUUUGAUAUGCUGAGUUUGUAAACAUAUGCUGAGGUACAUUCUAUCCGAAGUUGCUUGUUUUAUUUACUUAACAAACUGUCA